rnacentral:rRNA from 1 species
UACAGAGGUCUCAAGCGUUGUUCGGAUUCAUUGGGCGUGAAGGGUGCGUAGGCGGCGCGGUAAGUCGGGUGUGAAAUCUCGGAGCUUAACUCCGAAACUGCAUUCGAUACUGCCGUGCUUGAGGACUGGAGAGGAGACUGGAAUUUACGGUGUAGCGGUGAAAAUGCGUAGAUAUCGUAAGGAAGACCAGUGGCGAAGGCGGGUCUCUGGACAGUUCCUGACGCUGAGGAGCGAAAGCGUGGGGGAGCGAACAGG